UACGGGGGGGGCAAGCGUUGUUCGGAAUUACUGGGCGUAAAGGGCUCGUAGGUGGCCAACUAAGUCGGACGUGAAAUCCCUCGGCUUAACCGGGGAACUGCGUCCGAUACUGGUUGGCUUGAGUUUGGGAGAGGGAUGCGGAAUUCCUGGUGUAGCGGUGGAAUGCGCAGAUAUCAGGAGGAACACCGGUGGCGAAGGCGGGUCUCUGGGCAGUAACUGACGCUGAGGAGCGAAAGCGUGGGGAGCGAACAGG
rnacentral:rRNA from 1 species